CAGCGACAAGAGAAGGGACC
rnacentral:siRNA from 1 species